GAUGAAGAACGUAGCGAAAUGUGAUAAGUAAUGUGAAUUGCAGAAUUCAGUGAAUCAUCGAAUCUUUGAACGCACCUUGCACCCUUUGGUAUUCCGAAGGGUAUGCUCGUUUGAGUGUCAUUGUACUCUCACACUUCUAAUUCCUUUCGGGAUUGGGAGCGGUGGACUUGGGUGUUGCUGCUUUAGUUGUGGCUCACCUCAAAUAAGUUAGUGCAACUCUUGGUUGGACAUAGUACGGCGUGAUAAGUGUCUUCGCCGGCGCCUCUGUAAGGAGGGUGGCCGAUCGGGAGCUCUGUGCUUCAAACCGUCUUCGGACAAUCUUUGACAACUUGACCUCAAAUCGAGUAGGACUACCCGCUGAACUUAAGCAUAUCAAUAAGCGGAGGA
rnacentral:misc_RNA from 1 species